rnacentral:pre_miRNA from 7 species
CUCCAAGGGGUUUUUCAGGGUUCCUGAUUGUCACGCCUCCAAAUGAAAGAACCUUGUGGGGAAACCCCCACUCAAUUCCCCAUUUGAAGUGCACCCAAGAAUCACGAACAGAACA